GUUAUCGAUCUAUAAUAAAUUCGUCAUUCCUUGUCACUAUUGAAUUGGUAAAAAUGGAAGUGACUCGCAAACUGAAUUGAAUCCUUCAUAACUAUUAUUGUCACUGUAUUGAACGAAAUAACAAAUCAUCGACUUAUUUGCUGAUGAACAGCCAAGUAUUGCGUAAAAGUUGUCGGCCACGAACGUCUGGAAAAGUGUAAACUCUUUACCAUAUUUGGUCGCCACCAAAUUUGGAAAAUUAGGCUAUAAAGCAAUAACGCCUCGAGAUAAAUUUGUCACAAGUUUAAACAAUAACAAAUUUUUGUAUUGUACUGAUGUAACGGAAUACCGCAAAGGUCCGGAAAAAAAAUCGUCGGAUGUCACCGCAUUUGAAGAAAGGAAAUUUGUUUGCAAACAGACGCCCAUAAAAGGUAAACUUGAGACUAAAUGAAGUCAUCUUUUGAUUUUUCAGCAUUUUUUUAAAUUUUUUGAGUGACUCAGAACAGUAGGUGUCGAACGAGUUUAAUAGACACGGCCAGAACAGAGGUGUUAUUUUAUUACAAGACACGCCUCAUAUAACAAACAAUUUGAAAAAAUCUCCAACAAGUCACGUCGUUAUCAAUCAAAAUUUGCAAAGUAGCACGAACUUACCACUGAUUUUCUUUUCCUAGGUUUGAGAAAAUGUCCACAAGCACUGAAAAAAAAUCAAAUCACCCAAAAUCAAGUUCUCGUAAAAGUGAUAACGAGGCAAUAAUAUUGUGUAUAAUUUGCGCGGUUGCCGGUGGCCGACUGACUGGUAAAGAACUGACCAUGAAGGUGGGAUCUUCGCGAGGGACACCCCGAUGUGGUCAGCAGACACCUUCAAAGAGGUGCCCCGCUCUUGUGACGUAGUGCCUGCAACAGGCGCCCACUCACUAUCCCGCAAAUUGGAACGAUUCGUUUCCAAUUGAUUUCAAAAAGCAACACUUUAAUAUGUAUAAUCAAAAUUAUUAGUUGUUGGUAAUAUGGCAAUAGCAGCAAAUUUUUUUUAUUGUUAUGAAGCCUAUUUCACCAGAAUGUUGGCAAAGCAAUGUUCGAAGAAAAUAUCUGAAACUAUUGUAACACAAUUCUUCCAGACAUCUCUAUUCGGUUUAGCCAUAUUGAAUAACAUAGUAAUAAUUCUCUUAAUUUGUUGUCAUUUCAACAGUUUACUUGCUUAUUUAGCAUAUUUACACUAACAUUUUACUCAGAAUGAACUUUUCUUCCCAUAAAACGCUAAAUGUUUACAAUAAAAUAAAAUCUAUCCGCUUCACCAUUACAAAAAUAAUUUAUGGUAUACAUGUGUACAUAACAUACAGUGUUAUUCGAGAGCAUGUGACAGUAUAAAAGUAACUUAUCAAGUAAUGCUAAUAUUGCUAAUUUUUAUAAAUAUUAUUUUUGGUAAGUUUCAAAAUUAAUAAAAAUUGGUCAGAUGGUGACAGUAUAAAUAGAAUACAAGUUAAUAUUUAAAUGAAUCUCAACCAAAAAUAAAAUUUACACUUAAACACUUAAACUUUAAAAAUUAAAAUUAAAUAUUAUUUAGGUGAUUUAGGUGUGAUUGGGGUAAGAUUGUAAAAGAUUUCGUUGGGGUAUCUGAAGGCAGGCAUUCGUUUUCGUCAAUUUUAUUGCGAGACUAUAAAUCAAAAAGGUUGGCUAUUGGUAAAUUUUGUUGGCAAAUUAUACCAUCUUCCAGUCACUCACGCGUCUGGUUUGUGUCUUAAUAAAAAGACUGAUUAUUUAAUCAACCAAGUCAAAAUUUAUAAUUAUGAUACCAGGGUUCGUUGAGUUAGCAGGUCUAAAAAUUUUGUAGUUAAAUUAACAGUUAGUGCCCAAAAACUCACAAAAGUGCUACGAAUUUAUUUAUUAACAAAAAAAUUUAAUAAAAAUCGUGAAUGGUCUUCAUCAAUGUGUGUAAAAUUUCAGGAUUUUUAUUUCAUUAGAAGAAGCGAUUCUUUUAGGUGCGCGACAAGGUUGCCUCACCCAGUGCAAGGGUGUUUCAAAAAAAAGUUUUUGUGUUGUGUUUAACCAAAAUAUUUGUUAAAAUUUUUGGUCAAAUACACAUAAUCUAAAAAUAUAAAUUUUAUAAAUUUUAGAAUCCUAGCUUGUAAGCAAAAAAAAUAUUCUCUUCUGAUUAUAAAAAACAAUCGAUUAUGGGUGUAUUUAUAUAACACCCCAAAUCCGGGUACGUAAUGUAAAUUUAAUUCUUCAAUUUUUCCUUUUAAGGCGAUAUGAACUACUUUUAUACCCGAUUUUGACACUGACAUUUGUUUAAAAAUAACAGACCAUAACUAAAUGAAAUAAUGUAUCAUAGUAACCACUUGUAGAAUAAAAGUGUACUACCUCUAAUCGUAUCUAUGGAAUAAGCAACAACAUUAUUAGUACCUAUAAGAGAAACAUUAUUUCUUACUUUUUAGUGCAUCUUUUAAAUAAAGACUUUUUUUCUAAAAACAUUUUUUUUAAUUAAUAUAAAGUAAAGUGUGUAAUUAACCCUGUAUCAGACAAAAUAAUUUGCCUCGAUACACAAUUUUGAAUAUAAAUAAUCUUACUGUUUUCACAUAGCGUUUGUAAUUUUAAUGUGAUCAUAUUUGAUGAAUAAAAUUUUUCAAAAUCUUUUUACUUUUAGUUCAAAUUAUGCCAUUAUUUUUAACGGCACUCUAGUAAAAUGUUUUUUUUUGUUGAAGAUGCGUUUACGCUUUAUGCCAAAAAGGACUUAAAUAAUAUAGGUAUAUCCAUUGUUUUUCAACCAGUUUCUUUUUGAAGUUACGUAAGUUGUCCAAAUUUAACAGAUGUGGUUGUUUAAUGCAUGCUUUUAGUUCCCGAAAAAUUUGACACAAGUAUACAAAUUGUAAUUCUGAGAACCCACUUUCAGAAUUUGAACCUAAUUUCAUUGGAAAUGUGUUUCGAUCUGUCAAAACUUCACUGUCACUGCAUAAGAGAAUAUUUGCGGUUUGUAAAAUGUUCGUGAUGAGCUCACGAUACUUUAUUUAAAAAAUACUGGUUUAAAAUAGUAUAUUAUUAUACGAGUUUUAUAUCACAUCUUAUUGUGACACGAAUAUUUUUCCAGAAGAAUAUCUGCCACAAUUAAGUCUUAUAAAACGAGUGUAAUAUACUAUUUUUUCUACUUUCUGUUUUUGUUGUUUGUUUUUGUUUAGUUUAAUUUAUUAAAAUCUGUUCAAACUAUUUCCUCUUAAUUUUGUUAAUUAUUCGGGCUUUAUCAAUAAACGAUUUGACGCUGUUGGCAGAUCACACACUAAAUUACAGUGAUGAAUGACUGAUGACACAAAACCCAGCACUGCCGACUCCAAAAAAAUUACUUAAAGGGGUUGCACAUAAGUUCUCUUUGUGAAACUACUUUCAGUUCCGCAAUGAACAAUUUGUGAAACCAAAGUAGGAAAAGUAAUUUUCAGUGUUUUUGACAUUUAGUAAAUUCAAAAAGUGUAAAGUGUAGAUUAUUGUAAGGCAAAUAAUGUCCCAAAAGAGUAAAAUUUCAUACUUGAUUGAUUUGAAAUAAAAAAAGAAUUGAAUCAUGCUACAAAAUUCUUUCCCACGCAUCAAAUUUGUUUUUUCCAAACAUUAGAGUCUACUUUUAUUUUUGAAAACUUAUGGGCAUACAUCUGCAUUAGUUCUACAAACUUGUAAAAUAAGGUAGAAAUUCUCAAAUUUCCAUCUCAAAAUUUAUAAAACGAGAGUAAUAUACUAUUUUUUCUGCUUUCUCUUUUUGUUGUUUGUUUUUGUUUAGUUUAAGUUAUCAAAACCUGUUCACACUGCUUCCUCUUAAUUUUGUUAAUUAUUCGGGUUUUAUCAAUAAUCGAUUUGACGCUGUUGGCAGAUCACACACUAAAUUACAGUGAUGACUGAUGAAACUCUGCCCAGCACUGCCAAUACAACUCCUAAAAAUUUACUAAAAGUAGUUCCGUAAACGUUUUUUUUGUGAAACUACUUUCGGUUUCACAAUGAACAUUUUGUGAAAAGUAUACCUACCAAUUUUUUUUUGAAACUGAAAAAACUGAUUUCGAUUUUGAUUAUUAAUAAAAAUAUUAAUAUUUUUUUAUUUGCAUAUUGCAUUAUUGCGCAAAUGUAAAUGAAGCUUAGACUAAAAGCUUUUAUGCAAUUUUGUUUGUAGAUAACACACGCAAAUAGCUAAAUAACAUGUCACUUAUUAAAUAGUUCAGCUGAUCAAGCAUGUACGAUUAAAGUAACACAAAGUUAUUUAUUACAUUGCCUGCAACUUCGAACUUAAUCCAUGAUCAUUCUAUUAAAAAUAUAAUCAUUUCAAAUGAGAAACUAUUUCAACAGGUAGGUAUAUUUUAAUCUACUAAGACAUCCGGUGAAACAAAUAAGGCAAUUAUCACAAAUUAGAAACAUCUAACGUAGGUGGCACAAAUUAUUAUCUGGUUCAUUUUCAAUCAACAGAUGGAAAAAUAAAUUGGUUUUAGUGUUUUUUUUUGGUUUAUUUAAAUCGUCGGUUUCCAUUCUUCUUAAUGUUUUUUUAAUAUCUUAGAAAAUCACUCAGAUUAGAUGAGAUCGUAGGUUUUUAAUGAUGUGAGUUAAAAUUCAGCCACUACAGUUGUUGCGUGAACUACUUGAAGGUGUUAUCUAAUGUUAAUUACUUUCAUGAUAAGCUCCGUUAUAAUUUCCUCCUUACUUUCAAUUGCAUAAUAAGGGUCCCACUCUCAAUUUGCGCUAUCCCAUGAUUUGAUAUAAAUAGUUAAUAAAAAGACGCUUCGACGCGUUGGAGCAAAAGGCGGGACCUUGUUUUGAUCCUUGAGUGAUGUAACACUCUAAAAUAAGCCAAAUCUUUUCUUAUUCAAAUCGAAUAGAGGAUGGAUUUGUCACUUGCUCACAGUACAGGCGCUUUCACGCGAAUGCAUCAAGGUUCUGCAUAAUCCCCUUGCAUAUGCGACGAAUUAAACGCAAAGCAAAGGAUUAACAGCUUUUUGAGUCAUCGAAUCGUUCGAAUUUCCACGCGAACGAUCAAAUAUUCACAACCCACCGAAUCGCAAGUGGGUAUUGCAACAAGAAAUCAUUUUUUUAAGCACAUGUGUUCAAGUUCACGGUUCCUUGGGCAAAUUUUUCAAAAUAUGAUCAAUACAGUGAUUUGAAAUGGGUCCGGCAUUGACCCAUACCCAUAUAAAGGAACGUAUUUCACUGAAGUCUGGUCGAGUUGGCCCUGGCACCAUGCACUUAUUACAUACAUCACAUGCAAUCAGGCCACUUGAUCUCGUAAAAAUAAGACGAAUCUAAAACAAUAUCGUUCUUUAAUUGAAUAAUUCGCACCACACCCACGCCCAUCUUUUUUCUUUGAUGAAUAAACUUGACAUUGAGGUCAAAAAAUAAAACUUUUCGAUGGGUUUUUCGCAGACGGCGUCGCGACGACCGUAAUAAUUCAAUUUGUAUUGUUUGGUUCAACAAUUGGUGUGUUGGUGGAUGACCAAAAGUUACGCCUUGGACCGCAGGUGCUGGAAGAGUGCGGAAUUAACAAAAAUCACACCCACGAAAAAUCGCAAGAAAAUAACAAGAAAUUUUGUUAAUUAGUUAUUAGUUAUUUUUGCGACGAAUUUUGCCAAAAAUAAUUUAUCUUCAAGUUUUUGGCACAAUAUGUUUUAUUUUUUUAGAGGUUGUUGACUACUGGUUUUUUAUUUCAGUAGGUGUGGAGUCAGUAGUGUAACAAAUCAUUCAAUACUAAUUAUUAAAUAAACAACAAGCUUCUAAUGUUUGCAAAUAAUCUAAGAUGCUGUCAUAUCAAUCAUAGAUAUGUUAAUACAAAGUAUCACUUUAAUUUCACGAUUUCUACACAAGGGUCUUAUAUGGUCACAACAAUUAGUUAUAUCCAGCUGUUUGUGUAAAUUUGUAUUUUGUGUUAAUAACCGUUAGUAGGAUACUUACCUACUUUUUGAUUUUAGAUAUACAUGGUAUAAGUAUCAGAUUUCGUUUUUUGGUUAUGUUAUUGGCUUAGAAAUGUAAAGGUGUUUUUGAUUUGAGAGUAAAAACAGUUGCUAAUUGCAAGAAUCAUUUCAAUUUUUAAGAAAAUGUCUCCACAAUACAAGCACAUAUUCCUAUUAACUACAACCCACAUAGUCAUUUUAAACUUAUAAUUUAAAAAAUUUUACUUUCAAAUGAACAGUAGGAAUAUCCAUAUUUAUUAUUGAAAGUAACAAAAAAAGAAAAGAUUUGCACCUUCUUCAAAAAUAGAAACUUUUUCAUUUUUAAAUAACUCCGAAUGUGUUAGGUUUUAUGUCUUAUGUAAAUGUUGUAAUAAGAAAAAACGUUCAUUUUCUAAUUCCCUAUCGAACGGUCUAAAAUAAACAAGGAUUACCAUUUGUAAUAAGCAAAAUAAAAGGCUCUAAAGUUUAAAAAGUUUGGAAGUAAAUUGUAAACACCCUGUAGUAAUUCAGAUCAAUCAAACUUAAUUAAUAAGUUUGUUAGACCUUAUUCAACACGUACCUAGUAAUAUUGUCAUCAAAAAAACGUUGUAUCUAUUUUUUAAUAAUUUUUAAAUCUAAAGAUGUAAAACCGAUUCUUUUUGUUUUUAUUUUUUUAAGUAAUCCCUGAACCGAUUUGAAAAAAAACUUUAGGGACAUGUAAGAAGCUAAAAAGGUAUCCUAAUGAGCAUAAAAAAUAAUAGCAUGCUUUAAAAAAAAUGUUAUGUUGACAUAAUACUCUUUUGGGACACUCUGCAUAAUCAAAAAUACUUUCUUGAAAUACGUCCUAGAGUAAAAAUAACAUCUACAAAAUAUCAGAAGUCCAAAUUUACUAAUAAUAAGUGAGCUACAGAAUACAGGAGAUGAGCUGGACCAGCCUCUAUAUCGAAAAUGCAUAGUUUUCUCCUUUUCUGAACUCUGAACUUAAGGUGUCAUAUUUUGAGAACCGCUGAACUGGAAUGAUGAAAAUUAACGUGUUCGUACUUUUAAGGGCCGGUUUACAGAAAGCGAAAUUAAGAUUUAAUUCAAAAUUAAACUAAUUCGAAUUAAGUUGCCAUUUAAAAAACAUUGACAAAUGUCAAGUUAAUCGCGAUUAAAAUUUAAUUGCAAUUAAAAUGUUCUGUAAACCGGCUCUUAAAUUAUUGACAAAACGCCAGAGGUAAAUUAACUUCUUGGUUCACUAAAUUUAAAAAAAACAAAAAAAUUAUGCCACAACCGGGAUACGAAUCUCCCACACAAAUAAACAUGUUAGCAACACUAUUUAAAAAAUUCUCAAAACUGUAUAUUUUUAUAUGUUCAAAAAAAAUUAAUGAAAAAGCCUACGUUUGGAGAGUUUCAAAUUCCAACUGAAGUGUUCCAAAUGGAGUGCUCCAAUUUUUAUUACAUUAAAUUGAAGAAAAAAGAAGAGAAGUUGGGUUUACUUUUUGUUAACAUUUUUUAUAUUUACUGAAGAAUAAAACAUUUUUGAGCAGAACUUGUCAUUAAUUCUAUUUUAUAUCUAUUUUUAGCAAAAACAGCUAUGGUCAGCAGUGCCAAAAAAUCAAAAUUACCUGAAUAUAUUAAGAUAGGUAUACAAUGUUAGCCCAGAAUUAAAUUUUCUAAAGGUAAUUAGGAUUUUUGUUUCCUUUUUUUGAUUGAAAUUUAAAACCACCAAUAUAAAGAUCCAAGUUUUCUCUACCAAAUGCACAAAUAAAAAAUUUAAGUAUUCUAAAAUAAUUAAAUUUUAAAAUAAAAAAUUAAUUUAAAUAUCUCGCUAACGGCUAAGGGCCGGUUUACAAAAAGCGAAAUUAAGAUUUAAUUCAGAAUUACACUAAUUCGAAUUAAGUUGCCAUUUAAAUUGCAUUGACAAGUUUCAAGUUAAUCGCGAUUAAAAUUCAAUUGCAAUUAAAAUGUUCUGUAAACCAGCUCUAAAUUUACGAAUUUAUAUUUCGAAUUAAUCCAGAAACAGUAAAAAACUUAGCCUUUGUUUUUGUCAAAUGAAUUUUGUGUAAAGUGUAGAUUAUUGUAAGGCUAAUAAUGUUCCAAGAGAGUAAAAUUUCGUACUUUAUAGUUUUGAAAUAAAAAAACAAUUGAAUCAUGCAACAAAAUGCUUUCCCACGCAACAAAUUUAAUUUUUUUCAAAAUAUUUACUUUUGAAAACUACCAUCUUAAAAUUCGAUAAUAAUAACAGCAUAAGACUAAUCUGUCUCUCCGAAUGCAAUUAGGUAUUUUAAUUACUUUGAAUUCAUAUGUUCAACAGACAUUAUACCCAUUAGCGUAAUAUAAAAAAAAUACAAGUAAACAGUUUCCCACUACUCCGUAGAGUUAGUAUAGCUUUCGAAAAUUAUAAGUCUUUAUAAAACUUUUUUUAGUUAAUUAAACUUUUAUAAAAUCACCUACAGCUUUGCAUCGACCUGUGGAAAAUGUAUAUGGUAGAGCUCAGCUCCGUUUGCGUGUGCGUCAUCUGACAUUUCUGUCACUACGUUUACAUAGCAGGGGCAUAGCGGUGACAAACUAUCAAAUAUUUUUUGAGGUUACGAAGUGUUUAAAUUAUGAGUUGUUACAAAAAAUACAGAUUCACAAAACAAGAACUAAUAAACGCAGAAUCAAAAACCUAACGAAACGCAAAUCACAAAACACAAUAAACGAACAGAAAAUACUUGCGAUUAACACCGAUAACACUUUCGACAACCAUGCGAUGACGUCUAUAAUUUACUGUCAAUGUCAGUUUGACAAAUUCGUGACACUUGAUGGUGUUGUCGAAGUGCACAUGUAAAUUAAUGUUCAAGGAUACCACCCUUAGAUAGCCCUUAGCUGUUUAAAUUUGCAUUGUUUUUGAUAAUUUUUUAUAGCUUUGUGUUGGUAAUGAAAAAAUGAAAUUGAUGACGCACACGCAAAUCGAGCUGACCGCCACUAUAUAAGUGAUGACCUGUUGACUACUUUUUAUUUUAAAACUUCAUUAUUAAUCGUUACACCUACACUCUUUAGUUUUGUGCUUCAAAUCGAUUUGCAGCGACGUACUAAGAUAAACAGAAAAUUAAUAAAUAUUAAUGAUUUCUAAAAUAAAACACUGAAAGAUGACAGUAAUGCUGUGUAAUCGUUGUGAUUUUAAUACAUAUUAUUUGAUCAACAGUUGCGCGCCAUUGCGAGAAUUUUGCAAGAAAUAUAAAAAUGCAAAUGUCCUACAUUAAUAGCAUAGAAUUAACCAAUUAAAUAAUAAUUUGUUAUGAAUUAUUAAUGACUUAACAAUAAUCAAAACCUCCUACAAAUUUGUUUACGUAACAAAAUAAGUAGCAAUGUUAUUACAUUAUCUGGUAAAAUAAUUCUAAAAAUUUGAAGUAAAAGAAAGUAAUUUAAUAAAAUACAUAAAUGUGAAAUCAGGAGAUCACGAUUAUUGACUUAGUUGAUUCAUAAAAUAUAAGUGGUUACAUUAUUUCAGUUAGUUAUGGUCUGUUUUUUUAUAAACAAUUGUCAGUGUCAAAACUGGGUAUAAAAGUAAUUUAUAUCGUCUUAAAAAGGAAAAUCGAGAAAUUAGAUUUAUAUUACGUACCCGGAUUUGGGAAUAAAGAAAUUUCCGCAGAAUCGGUGAAGGUUUUUGAUCGAAAUUCGUAGGCGCGCCGAAUAUGGAGAUAUGUCCUGAUCCAGGCAUCGAACAGUAGGUGGAGGCUGAUGACGUC